rnacentral:rRNA from 1 species
AUUGAACGCUGGCGGCAGGCCUAACACAUGCAAGUCGAGCGGAUGAAGGGAGCUUGCUCCUGGAUUCAGCGGCGGACGGGUGAGUAAUGCCUAGGAAUCUGCCUGGUAGUGGGGGAUAACGUCCGGAAACGGGCGCUAAUACCGCAUACGUCCUGAGGGAGAAAGUGGGGGAUCUUCGGACCUCACGCUAUCAGAUGAGCCUAGGUCGGAUUAGCUAGUUGGUGGGGUAAAGGCCUACCAAGGCGACGAUCCGUAACUGGUCUGAGAGGAUGAUCAGGCACACCGGAACGGAGACACGGUCCAGACUACAACGGGAGGGAGCAGUGGGGAAUAUUGGACUAGGGGCGGAAGGCUGAUCCGACCCAGCCGCGUGGGGGAAAGAGGUACUCCGAUUUGAAAGGUCUUUAAGUUUGGUGGGAGGGCAGUGAGGUUAUACCUUGCUGUUUUGACGGUACCAACAGAAUAAGCACCGGCUAACUUCGUG